rnacentral:rRNA from 1 species
GUGGGGAAUUUUGGACAAUGGGCGCAAGCCUGAUCCAGCAAUGCCGCGUGCAGGAAGAAGGCCUUCGGGUUGUAAACUGCUUUUGUACGGAACGAAACGGUCCUGGUUAAUACCUGGGGCUAAUGACGGUACCGUAAGAAUAAGCACCGGCUAACUACGUGCCAGCAGCCGCGGUAAUACGUAGGGUGCGAGCGUUAAUCGGAAUUACUGGGCGUAAAGCGUGCGCAGGCGGUGCUGUAAGACAGGCGUGAAAUCCCCGGGCUCAACCUGGGAAUGGCGCUUGUGACUGCAAAGGUGGAGUGCGGCAGAGGGGGAUGGAAUUCCGCGUGUAGCAGUGAAAUGCGUAGAUAUGCGGAGGAACACCGAUGGCGAAGGCAAUCCCCUGGGCCUGCACUGACGCUCAUGCACGAAAGCGUGGGGAGCAAACAGGAUUAGAAACCCUAGUAGUCC